ACCAGCUCCAGGAGGGAUUUUUUUUAUCAAUGGUGAAGGUGCUAGAUUUCUAAAAAUCCCCUCUUCUUAAUUUUUCUACCAUCCUCUGAGUGCCUAGCUUGCAAGUGGCAUGCCAGAGCAGCAUACUUCCAGCCUACAGGAUUAAAAGGGGAAGUCUAUUUUUGUGCUCAGCCUGAAUUUUGAGCAUAACCUGUUGUGGUGUUGAUGUGAGGGUCCCCAGGACAAGGUGAGAGAUAAGAAUUGACUCCAAGUUCUCAGAAGGCUGAUUUAUUAUAUUAUGGUAUUAUAUUAUAUUAAAAGAAAAUAAUAUACUAAAACAAUACUAAAGAAAGAGAAAGGUUACAGACAGAAGGCUAGAAAGGAAUGAUAAAAACCCAUGACUGACCAGAGAGUCUGACACAGCUGGACUCAGAUUGGCCAUUAAGUAAAAACAAUUCACGUGGAACCAAUCAAAGAUGGACCUGUUGUUAAACAAUCUCUAGACCACAUUCCAAGGAAUCAGAUAAUUAUGGUUACAUUUCUUUUCUGAGGCUUCUCAGCUUCUCAAGAGAAAAAUCCUGGCAAAGGGAUUUUUCAUAAAAUAUCAUGGUGACACAUAACCUAGAGGAAUAUGGGACUGCAGAUGCAUCUUCUGGGAUGUCCACUUGGCUGUACCUCCUGGUGCCUGAGAAUGUACCCUGAAUAUACUGACUACUGGGGGACAGUUUUCCU
rnacentral:lncRNA from 1 species